rnacentral:tRNA from 1 species
UAUGGCUCAGGGGUAGAAUGUCUGCUUAGAAUGCAGGAGGGCCUGAGUUCAAACCUCAGUA